UCUAGAAGCUUCGGCAAUGGGCGAAAGCCUGACCGAGCGACGCCGCGUGUGGGAUGGAGCCUCUUGGGGUGUAAACCACUUUCGACCGGGAAGAAGGCCUGGAUGGCGAAUCCGGGAUUGACGGUACCGGGAGAAGAAGCACCGGCUAACUCCGUGCCAGCAGCCGCGGUAAUACGGGGGGUGCAAGCGUUAUUCGGAUUCAUUGGGCGUAAAGGGCGCGUAGGCGGCUAAGUCAGUCUGGUGUGAAAACGCUACCGCUUAACGGAGCGAUGGCAUUGGAUACUGCUUAGCUUGAGGGCAUGAGAGGUGAGCGGAAUACCUGGUGUAGCGGUGGAAUGCGUAGAGAUCAGGUAGAACAUCCGUGGCGAAGGCGGCUCACUGGCAUGCAUCUGACGCUGAGGCGCGAAAGCGUGGGGAGCAAACG
rnacentral:rRNA from 1 species